GGAAUUGUGGCUCAGUGGCAGAGCACUUGCCUCACACGUAUGAGGCACUGGGUUCAAUCCUCAGCACCA
rfam:Ictidomys tridecemlineatus contig090078, whole genome shotgun sequence.